GCCGAAAUAGCUCAGGUGGGAGAGAGUCAGACUGAAGAUCUGAAGGUCCCUGGUUCAAUCCCGGGUUUCGGCA
rnacentral:tRNA from 1 species